rnacentral:rRNA from 1 species
AUACGGGUAAUGUUGUCGCUGGCCUUGUAACUUGUAAACUAAGUUAGAGGCAUGUGCACGCUCUCCUGAGGACCUCUUCGACGUCUCUCAUCUCAUCCCUCUCACCUGUGCACCUAAUGUAGGUCUGCAUGGUUUUGGUAAACACUGGAACCAUGCUAGAGCCUCUCUCUCUGCGGGGGGAAAGGACAAAGUACCUAUGUCUUCAAAUACAUCUUCGUGUAGAAAGUCUUUGAAUGUUUAUUAUCAUAGAGUCACGACUUCUAGGAGACGUGGGUCUUUGAGUUAAAAGUUAUUACAACUUUCAGCAAUGGAUCUCUUGGCUCUCGCAUCGAUGAAGAACGCAGCGAAACGCGAUAUGUAAUGUGAAUUGCAGAUCUACAGUGAAUCAUCGAAUCUUUGAACGCACCUUGCGCUCCUUGGUAUUCCGAGGAGCAUGCCUGUUUGAGUGUCAGUAAUUUCUCAACCCCUUUUGAUUAGAUUCAAGAGGGAGCUUGGAUAGUGGGGGUUUGCUGGAGACUUGGGCUUUUACUAGUAAAAGUCUAGGAUUCGAGCUCUCCUGAAAUGCAUCGGCUUGCGGUCAACCUUGGACUUUGCGUGAAAAGGCUUUCGGCGUGAUAAUGAUCGCCGUGUGCUGAAGCGCAUGAAAAAGGCUCCAUGUCCGUGCCUCUAAUACGUC